rnacentral:rRNA from 1 species
UACGGGGGGGGGCAAGCGUUUGUUCGGAAUUACUGGGCGUAAAGGGUUCGUAGGUGGCCAACUAAGCCAGACGUGAAAUCCCUCAGCUUAACUGGGGAACUGCGUCUGGGACUGGAUGGCUUGAGUGCAGGAGAGGAACGCGGAAUUCCAGGUGUAGCGGUGAAAUGCGUAGAUAUCUGGAGGAACACCGGUGGCGAAGGCGGCGUUCUGGACUGCAACUGACACUGAGGAACGAAAGCCAGGGGAGCAAACGGG